rnacentral:rRNA from 1 species
UACGGAGGGUGCAAGCGUUAUCCGGAUUCACUGGGUUUAAAGGGUGCGUAGGUGGGCAGGUAAGCCCGUGGUGAAAUCUCUGAGCUUAACUCAGAAACUGCCGUGGAUACUAUUUGUCUUGAAUAUUGUGGAGGUGAGCGGAAUAUGUCAUGUAGCGGUGAAAUGCUUAGAUAUGACAUAGAACACCAAUUGCGAAGGCAGCUCACUACACAAUUAUUGACGCUGAGGCACGAAAGCGUGGGGAUCAAACAGG